CCUACGGGUGGCAGCAGUAGGGAAUUUUCGGCAAUGGGGGGAACCCUGACCGAGCAACGCCGCGUGAACGAAGAAGUCACUCGUAAUGUAAAGUUUUUUUAACAGGGAAGAAAGAGAAAUGAGACGGUACCUGAAGAAUAAGCCCCGGCUAACUACGUGCCAGCAGCCGCGGUAAUACGUAGGGAGCGAGCGUUAUCCGGAAUUAUUGGGCGUAAGGGGUGCGGAGAUGGCCUAGUAAGUCUUUGGUAAAAAUUCUGGGCUCAACCCAGUAGGGCAAAAGAUACUGCAAAGCUAGAGUGUGACAGAGGCAAGUGGAACGACAGGUGUAGCGGUGAAAUGCAUAGAUAUAUGUAAGAACCCCGGUGGCGAAGGCAGCUUACUGGGUCGAUACUGACAUUGAGGCACGAAAGCGUGGGGAGCAAACAGGAUUAGAUACCCUAGUAGUC
rnacentral:rRNA from 1 species